GACGAACGCUGGCGGCGUGCUUAACACAUGCAAGUCGAACGGAAAGGCCCUGCUUGCAGGGUGCUCGAGUGGCGAACGGGUGAGUAACACGUGGGUGAUCUGCCCCUUACUUUGGGAUAAGCCUGGGAAACUGGGUCUAAUACUGGAUAGGACCAUGCUGUAGGUGGUGUGGUGGAAAGAUUAGUUUCGGUAAGGGAUGAGCUCGCGGCCUAUCAGCUUGUUGGUGGGGUAAUGGCCUACCAAGGCGUCGACGGGUAGCCGGCCUGAGAGGGUGGACGGCCACAUUGGAACUGAGAUACGAGCCAGACUCCUACGGGAGGCAGCAGUGGGGAAAAUUGCACAAUGGGCGCAAGCCUGAUGCAGCGACGCCGCGUGGGGGGUGACGGCCUUCGGGUUGUAAACUCCUUUCAGCCAUGACGAAGCCCUUGUGGUGACGGUAGCGGUAGAAGAAGCACCGGCUAACUACGUG
rnacentral:rRNA from 1 species